GGGCAGUUAGCUCAGCGGUAGAGCACUGCCUUCACACGGGGGUCAGUGGUUCGAUCCCACUACUGCCCACCA
rnacentral:tRNA from 1 species